rnacentral:rRNA from 1 species
AGAGUUUGAUCCUGGCUCAGGACGAACGCUGGCGGCGCGCCUAACACAUGCAAGUCGAACGAGCGAGAGAGAGCUUGCUUUCUCAAGCGAGUGGCGAACGGGUGAGUAACGCGUGAGGAACCUGCCUCAAAGAGGGGGACAACAGUUGGAAACGACUGCUAAUACCGCAUAAGCCCACGACCCGGCAUCGGGUAGAGGGAAAAGGAGCAAUCCGCUUUGAGAUGGCCUCGCGUCCGAUUAGCUAGUUGGUGAGGUAACGGCCCACCAAGGCGACGAUCGGUAGCCGGACUGAGAGGUUGAACGGCCACAUUGGGACUGAGACACGGCCCAGACUCCUACGGGAGGCAGCAGUGGGGAAUAUUGCACAAUGGGGGAAACCCUGAUGCAGCGACGCCGCGUGGAGGAAGAAGGUCUUCGGAUUGUAAACUCCUGUUGUUGAGGAAGAUAAUGACGGUACUCAACAAGGAAGUGACGGCUAACUACGUGCCAGCAGCCGCGGUAAAACGUAGGUCACAAGCGUUGUCCGGAAUUACUGGGUGUAAAGGGAGCGCAGGCGGGAAGACAAGUUGGAAGUGAAAUCCAUGGGCUCAACCCAUGAACUGCUUUCAAAACUGUUUUUCUUGAGUAGUGCAGAGGUAGGCGGAAUUCCCGGUGUAGCGGUGGAAUGCGUAGAUAUCGGGAGGAACACCAGUGGCGAAGGCGGCCUACUGGGCACCAACUGACGCUGAGGCUCGAAAGUGUGGGUAGCAAACAGGAUUAGAUACCCUGGUAGUCCACACCGUAAACGAUGAUUACUAGGUGUUGGAGGAUUGACCCCUUCAGUGCCGCAGUUAACACAAUAAGUAAUCCACCUGGGGAGUACGACCGCAAGGUUGAAACUCAAAGGAAUUGACGGGGGCCCGCACAAGCAGUGGAGUAUGUGGUUUAAUUCGACGCAACGCGAAGAACCUUACCAAGUCUUGACAUCCUGCGACGCACAUAGAAAUAUGUGUUUCCUUCGGGACGCAGAGACAGGUGGUGCAUGGUUGUCGUCAGCUCGUGUCGUGAGAUGUUGGGUUAAGUC